AUGCUCAUUUCAGCAGUACAAAUACUAAAGCUGAAAUGAUACGGAGAUUAGCAUGGCGCCUGCACAAGAAUGACACACAAAUUUGUGAAGCAUUCCAUAGUUUU